rnacentral:lncRNA from 10 species
AAAAUCAAACAAAUGUCACCUCCUAUUAUCAUGGCAACUAAGUUCCACUCUGAAAAUAGAAGCUGGAACUUUAACCUGUUAACUAGUAAACCAAUCUACUGAUGUGUUUAUGUUUUAGCAAUACUUUUUACAUUAAAAAAAUUAUUUCAAAUCUGUACCACUCUCGGGAAUUUUCCCUGAUGAAGCCCACUCUUACUUGCAUUCUUUGACACCUCUUUGCAUUGGGCUAAUGCUUUAAUAAUGGACUUCAAGUGCACGGAAUUUGAUUAUUCAUAAUGAUUUCUUUCUUUCCUUCUUUUAUUUCUUCCUUCUUUUACUUCUUCCCCCCACCGUGCCCCCCACCCGCCCCUGUCUCUCUCUGUCUCUCGGUCUCUCUCUCUCUCUUUCAUCUUUCACAAAUACUAAUAUAAAACUUACUAUGUACCAGGCAUUAUUCUAAGAUUUUCAACCUUCAUAACAACCCUAGGAGGCUAAGUACUGUUAUUAAUUCCAUUUUAAAGAUGAGAAGAGUUGAUUUAUAUUGAUUUAUGAUAUACUAUCAUCACUGGUCUCAUCAUGACUCUAUUUUAUUUUUUCAUUUACCCGUUGUAUUCCCUGGCUUAUUACUUUGUUAGUGAUAAAAGUCAACUACCCAACCCAAGAAUUUAAACAUGAGCAAUGUUUGCGCCUAUCUAUAGAAUCCUCCCCAUCCCGUUACCCUGCUGCAUAACUCUGACAUGCUGAAUUUUGUGUUUAUAUUAUUUUCUUGCAUUUUUUAAAAGAUAAUUUUAGCAAAUAUAUGUUUGCUCAAAAACGUUAUUGCUUAUAAAGACUAUCAUGCUGUGAUCAUCUGAGAACCUGCUAUCACUAAGCAUCAUAUUAUCACAUAUACCUGUAGUUCAUUUAUUUUCAUUGCAAUAAGUUAUUCUGGAUAUACUACAAUUCGUUUCCCUCUGGAUAGGCAUUUGCUAUCUGCUCUUGUUAUUAUAAACACUACUUUUUUGAACACUUUUAUGUGUUUAUCUGGGUGCACAAAUGUGAUAAUUUCCUUUAAUAUGUACACCUAGAAAAUUGUGGGGUCAUAAGGUGUGUGAAUAUUAAACUUUAAAAGAUAAUGUCAAGUGGUUAACCAAUUUAUACCAGCAC